UGCUUGGUCAGCACUGACCACUAGGUCAAAUGAUUAAGUAGAUGGUUCUUGUAUCCAAGGCUAGCUCUACGAUAAAGUAUCCCUACUGUUUGUAUGUCUACCAAGUGUCAAAUAAUACAGGUCAGAUGAAACCAUCUCUAAAAGAUGUAUGUUACUCCUGGAAGAUUUGUAUCUGAUGGCCCACGUGACUGCCACGGGUAACCAUAGGGGACUGGUAGAUCUUAUGAAUGGAAUUGUAGGAGCAAAAGCUCUGAUUAACCUGGAAGACUAUCGAGUCCAUAAAUGUGUUUAGGAAAAAUAUCAUGAUGUUUAUUUUAGUAUCAAAGAAUAGCAGCUUCUGUAUAAAAAAAAUGGUAACAAGUAUCAUGUUUGUAGUUUUUAUACGCCCGUUUACGGGACGUAUUAUGGUAUACCGUUGUCCGUCUGUCCGUCCGUCCGUCCGUCCGUCUGUCCGUCGUCAACAUGUCGGACAUUAACUCAAAAAUGCUUAAACCAAUUUGCAUAAAACUUUGGUGAAUUGUUUAUAUCUUUUGACGUGAGCUCCCUUUCGUUUUUUAUAAAAUUUAGAUUUUACGUUUCUGAGUUAUGGGGUUUUAUUCAUUUAAAAAAGGGGGAUUUUCCAGUUUUCGGACAAUAAGUCAAGAAUGCUUUCACCAACUUGCAAGAAAUUGUGGUGAAUUGUUUAUAUCUAUUGACAUGAGCUCCCUUUUGAUUUUUAUAAAUUUUAGAUUUUACGUUUCCGAGUUACAG